rnacentral:rRNA from 1 species
GAGUUUGAUCCUGGCUCAGAUUGAACGCUGGCGGCAGGCCUAACACAUGCAAGUCGAGCGGUAGAGAGAAGCUUGCUUCUCUUGAGAGCGGCGGACGGGUGAGUAAUGCCUAGGAAUCUGCCUGGUAGUGGGGGAUAACGCUCGGAAACGGACGCUAAUACCGCAUACGUCCUACGGGAGAAAGCAGGGGACCUUCGGGCCUUGCGCUAUCAGAUGAGCCUAGGUCGGAUUAGCUAGUUGGUGAGGUAAUGGCUCACCAAGGCGACGAUCCGUAACUGGUCUGAGAGGAUGAUCAGUCACACUGGAACUGAGACACGGUCCAGACUCCUACGGAGGCAGCAGUGGGGAAUAUUGGACAAUGGGCGAAAGCCUGAUCCAGCCAUGCCGCGUGUGUGAAGAAGGUCUUCGGAUUGUAAAGCACUUUAAGUUGGGAGGAAGGG